rnacentral:rRNA from 1 species
CCCCCGGCUUAACCGGGGAGGGUCAUUGGAAACUGGGAAACUUUGAGUGCAGAAAGAGGAGAGUGGAAUUCCACGUGUAGCGGUGAAAUGCGUAGAGAUGUGGAGGAACACCAGUGGCGAAGGCGACUCUCUGGUCUGUAACUGACGCUGAGGAGCGAAAGCGUGGGGAGCGAACAGGAUUAGAUACCCUGGUAGUCCACGCCGUAAACGAUGAGUGCUAAGUGUUAGGGGGUUUCCGCCCCUUAGUGCUGCAGCUAACGCAUUAAGCACUCCGCCUGGGGAGUACGGUCGCAAGACUGAAACUCAAAGGAAUUGACGGGGGCCCGCACAAGCGGUGGAGCAUGUGGUUUAAUUCGAAGCAACGCGAAGAACCUUACCAGGUCUUGACAUCCUCUGACAACCCUAGAGAUAGGGCUUUCCCUUCGGGGACAGAGUGACAGGUGGUGCAUGGUUGUCGUCAGCUCGUGUCGUGAGAUGUUGGGUUAAGUCCCGCAACGAGCGCAACCCUUGAUCUUAGUUGCCAGCAUUCAGUUGGGCACUCUAAGGUGACUGCCGGUGACAAACCGGAGGAAGGUGGGGAUGACGUCAAAUCAUCAUGCCCCUUAUGACCUGGGCUACACACGUGCUACAAUGGACAGA